UACGGAGGGUGCAAGCGUUGUUCGGAAUCAUUGGGCGUAAAGCGCGUGUAGGCGGCUUGGCAAGUCGGUUGUGAAAGCCCGGGGCCCAACCCCGGAAUUGCAUCUGAAACUGCCUCGCUAGAGUCCCGGAGAGGAAGGCAGAAUUCCCGGUGUAGGGGUGAAAUCCGUAGAUAUCGGGAGGAAUACCAGCGGCGAAGGCGGCCUUCUGGACGGUGACUGACGCUGAGACGCGAAAGCGUGGGGAGCGAUCCGG
rnacentral:rRNA from 1 species